CGUACGCAGGCACCACGUUUCACCCCUCCUUUGAUCUUCAGCAGCGUAGUUCCGUGUUCGCGAUGCGGCGUUGCUGUGCCUUCGCGUGCAGCACAAAAGGGGCGGCAAGCGGCUGUUCCGUAUUCCAAGCGGCACGCGACCCGCAGCGAGGUCUGGCUUCAAAGAAUCGGCCGGGCUGAUUUCAACGCAACGCAAUGGUCCCGGCUCUGUGGGGGAUAGAGCUUGGUUCUUUGAUGAAGGAACUCCGCGGAGAACUGGAAACAUUCACCCGGUCCUGGAAUCAGAAGCGGGGCAGAGUGAACGACUUGUUUGCAAGAUAACGACGUUGGCGCGGUGUAUUUCAUUUAUACACCGAUACUUCAGUUCACCACCCCAAGCCAAGCGUUUUUCCAUCGUCCGCAAUGCUUCUAGUCAGUUCAGUAGGUAGAGGGGUUCUCCCGGUGUGGUGGAAGCUCCAGGUUUUUGAGCCAGAGCGAACCCUUGCUCAACAACAACCUUUGGAUCUCGACGCACCGACCAUGUCUUCUUUGGCUUUAUAGUUUCUCUGUAGUAUAACUUGCAGUUGCUGAUCGCGCCAAAAUAAA